AGAACACAGGAGACUCUCCACCAGUAUUUGUGUACUGAAUAAAGGAAUGAAGGAAACCUUCAGGCCUUCCCUCCUCAGAAGAAUCCUAAAAGGAACUUGAUUCAGGGAAAGACUUCAACUCAAAGGGGCUGGUAGGCCAUUUUAAAUGGAACAGAUGGAAGGCCAUCUUCAAAGGUACUGCCUACCUGAACCUGCCUUGUCCCAAAGGACACACUUCAAUCUGGGGAGAGUUUAAAGUUGUAGACAUAUCCAUUUUCAUUUAAGGAAUAUGAAGAUCAGGGAGGCAAAAUAUAGAGAUAUAGAGAGGAAAAACUGAGAGAUGAUCAGAAAUUCAGACGCAUUCGGAAUGAGCACCCUUGACCAUACCAAGAACAAAGACUCUAUAAAAAUGUGAAGUCUUAUUAUUGUUCAUCCAUGUUCUACGUGGGAUCCACCCAAGACAUUGAAAACUGUACAGAACAGGGUGAAAUUGAAUCAGAUCAUUCUGUACUCCUAACAAGGUCCACCCCAUGAGAGACUUGCAGCAGAAUUAAUGACACUGUAUAUUUUCCUCUACUAACAACAACAAGAACAACAACAACAACAAUCUAGGAAAAUCAAAGGCAGCCCGACAUGGAAAAAAACACAAAAUGAAUAUUUGGAUUACAAAUAGUGUGAUGGGAAGAACACACUGCCAAAAGUCCACCUAGUAUGUUGAAAUUACUGUUUCUAGCACAUAUAAGAUUUGCUGCCAAUUUGUACUGACUUCUGAAAAAUACUUUAUCCAUUGUCUUCUUACAUCAGAAUCAACUCCCUAAAUUCUUCAGCACUGGCUUUGUAAACUGGUUUCUGGUCUUUGUUUCUGGUGAAUAACAAUAAGGCAAUGUAGAAGAAAGCAAGUCCCAUCAAAGGGAGCUCCAGUCUCUAUAGACUGAUAAAAAGGAGCCUCAGAACUUAAACCUCUGGAUCAGGAGAAUCAAAAAACAUCAUGCCUCUCUAUGAUACCCGCCCAAACUCUUUCAGCUAAACAGAAGCACUUUCAAAUAUACAAUUCCGGCAGAGUCUGCAUUUUUGUUGUAAGAGCCUCAUGUUUUUAGUCAGACACAUCCGGGAGUUGAGUGCUUUGGAUGACACAAAACAAAGGCUCCAUGUUGCCUGUCACACCACAAGCUAUUAAUGACAAGCAGAUCUGACCUCUUCCCCCAGCUCCUGCAUCCACUGAAGGCUCUGUCACUUCCUCACUCUCAGCUCACUUGUAUUCUGAUUCUGUUCUAUAGACAAAACCUUGGUUUACAUUAAUAUAUAAAGCUGCUCAGGAGAAUCCUUCUUAGGAAUCACUCUGAACAUUAAAACUGAUUCAUUUAAAAACGCACACCCACACAAAUGGGAAAAGCAGUCUUCGCUUGCGGAUUGGAAGAAUCAAUAUCAUUAAAAGAACUAUACUACCCAAAGCAAUCUACAGAUUCAACACUAUUCCUAUCCAACAUCAUUUUUUAAAUUUAGAAAAAAACUAUUAUGAAAUUCGUAUGGAAUGAGAAAAGCCCCAUUAGCUAAAACAACCCUGAAUAAAAAGAACAAAGCCAGAGGCAUCACAUUAUCUGACUUCAAACUAUAUUAUGAGGCUACAGUAACCAAAGAAGCAUCAUACUAGUACACAAACAGACACAUAGACCAAUGGAACAGAAUAGAGAAUCCAGAAAUAAAGCCACACACCUACAACCAUCUGGUCUUUGACAAAGUCGACAAAAAUAAGCAAUGGGGAGAGGAUUCCCUAGCCAAUAAGUGGUGCUGAGAUAACUGGCUAACCAUAUGCAGAAGAAUGAAACUAGACCCCUACCUUUUUCCAUAUACAAAAACUAACUUGAGAUGGAUUAGAGAUUUAAAUGUAAGACCUCAAACUAUAAAAAUCCUAGAGAAAACCUAGGAAAUACCCUUCCCGACAUUGGCCUUGGCGAGGAAUUUAUGGCUAAGGCCUCAAAAGCAAUCACAACAAAAACAAAGACUGACAAGUGGGACCUAAUUAAACUAAAAAGCUUCAGCACAGCAAAAGAAACUAUCAACAGAAUAAACAGACAACCUACAGAAUGGGAGAAGAUAUUUACAAACUCUGUAUAUGACAAAGUUCCAAUAUCCAGAAUCUGUAAGGAACUUAAUUUGACAAGCAAAAACCAAAUAACUCCAUUAAAAGGUGGGCAAAGGAUAUGAACAGACAUUUCCCAAAAGAAGAAGACAAACAAAUAGCCAAUGAACAUAUGAAGAAAUGCUCAACAUUACUAAUUAUCAGAGAAAUGCAAAUCAAAACCACAAUGAGAUACCAUCUCACACUAGUAGAAAUAGCGAUAAUUAAAAAGUAAAAACAAACAACAAACAAAAAACAGAUGCUUCCAGCCUGGGCAACGUAACUGGGACCCCAUCUCUACAAAAUAAAAAAAAAAUUAGCCACGCGUGGUGGUGCACACCUGUAGUCCCAGUUACUUAGGAGGCUGAGGUAGGAGGAUUGCUUGAGCCUAGAAGGUCAAAGUUGCAGUGAGCCAUGAUUGCACCACUGCACUCCAGCCUGGAUGAGAGAGCAAGACCCUGUCUUGAAAAAUAAAAAAAAAAAACAAAUGUUAGUGGGGCUGUGGAGAAAAGGGAACACUUAUACACUAUUGGUGGGAAUGUGAAUUAGUGCAGCCACUGUGGAAAGCAGUUUGGAGAUAUUUCAAAUAAAUUAAAACAGAACUACCAUUCAACCAAGGAGUCCCGUUACUGGGUACACACCCAGAGGAAAAUAAAUCACUCUACAAAAAAGUCACAUGCACUUGUAUGUUCACUGCAGCAGUACUCACAAUAGCCAAGACGUAAAAUCAACCUAGGUGCCCAUCAACAGUGGAUUGCAUAAAGAAAAUAUGGUACAUAUACACCAUGAAAUCCUAUGCAGCCAUAAAAAAGAAUGAAAUCAUGUCCUUUGCAGCUACAUGGAUGCAGCUUGGAGGCCAUUAUCCUAAGCAAAUUAACACAGGAACAGAAAAGCAAAUGCCAUAUGUUCUCACAUAUAAGUAGGAGCUAAACAUUGGGUACAUGUGGAUAUAAAGAUGGGAACAACAGACACUGGAACUGGGAAUACAGACUACUAAAGAAUGGAAAGAAGGAGGGGGCAAAGGUUGAAAAAAUACCUAUUGGGUUCUCUGCUCACUACCAUAGUAAUGACGGGAU
rnacentral:lncRNA from 1 species